CUAAGUGGGCUAAGUUUAAUUGAGGUUGACAUUUCUUAUCUUUGCUGCGUUUUGGGGAAUUUACCUUUUCAAUUUGCUUACCCUUUUCAUCUUUUGAUCAUCUUUUGUCUAAAGUUCAUUUGUCGUUAUUAUUUAAUUUUCUACUAGACUUUCUCAUCCUGCAAAGCAUUUCCCACAUCCCAAGAUAUUACUUUGCCCAUUUCUUAAUUCUAUUUUUAUAAAAAAAAUUACUUCCUAUUAAAUUUUUAUUAAUUCAUCAGGAUGUCUUCCUGUAAUAUUUUACAAAAGAGCCUGUUAAUUUGGGGUCAUUGCCUUUCAAUCCUCUUGAGAGCCAUAGACUCGAUUAGAACAACCAUGAC
rnacentral:lncRNA from 1 species